UGAGGAAUUUUCCGCAAUGGACGAAAGUCUGACGGAGCGACACCGCGUGGACGAUGAAGGUCUUCGGAUCGUAAAGUCCUGUCGGGGGAGAAGAAACCCAGUUUCGUGAAUAAUGAAGCUGGCUGACGGUAUCCCCUAAGGAAGCACCGGCUAACUACGUGCCAGCAGCCGCGGUAAUACGUAGGGUGCAAGCGUUAUCCGGAAUCACUGGGCGUAAAGAGCUCGUAGGCGGUCUUGUAAGUCACGUGUUAAAUCCCCGGGCUUAACCCGGGACAUGCGCGUGAUACUGUAAGGCUAGAGGUCGGGAGAGGAAAGCGGAAUUCCAGGUGUAGCGGUGAAAUGCAUAGAUAUCUGGAAGAACACCAGUGGCGAAGGCGGCUUUCUGGACCGAUUCUGACGCUGAGGAGCGAAAGCUAGGGUAGAGAACGGG
rnacentral:rRNA from 1 species